rnacentral:ncRNA from 1 species
AUCCUCGGGAACGGGUGAAACUCCCAACCGGUGGUAAAGGCGCACAACGCCAAGCCCACGAGUCUCUUUUACAAAUUGACUGAUUUGGUGAAAAUCCAAAGCCGACGGUUAUAGUCCGGAUGGGAGAGGAA